CAGAGUAGAGGCCUGCGCGUAAAGUGCCGCCCUGACGGGGAGUUGCAGGGCGGACGAAAAGCAUCCGCUUGCGGUGCAGGCUUCGCAUCCCGCUGC
rnacentral:ncRNA from 1 species